rnacentral:rRNA from 1 species
UUGAACGCUGGCGGCAUGCCUUACACAUGCAAGUCGAACGGCAGCACGGGGGCAACCCUGGUGGCGAGUGGCGAACGGGUGAGUAAUACAUCGGAACGUGCCCUGAAGUGGGGGAUAACGUAGCGAAAGUUACGCUAAUACCGCAUAUUCUGUGAGCAGGAAAGCAGGGGAUCUUCGGACCUUGUGCGAAUGGAGCGGCCGAUGUCGGAUUAGCUAGUUGGUGGGGUAAAGGCCCACCAAGGCGACGAUCUGUAGCGGGUCUGAGAGGAUGAUCCGCCACACUGGGACUGAGACACGGCCCAGACUCCUACGGGAGGCAGCAGUGGGGAAUUUUGGACAAUGGGCGCAAGCCUGAUCCAGCCAUGCCGCGUGCGGGACGAAGGCCUUCGGGUUGUAAACCGCUUUCAGCCGGAAAGAAAUCGUCAAGGCUAAUAUCCUUGAUGGAUGACGGUACCGGAAGAAGAAGCACCGGCUAACUACGG